rnacentral:rRNA from 1 species
GAUGAACGCUGGCGGCGUGCUUAACACAUGCAAGUCGAACGGGAAAUAUUUCAUUGAGACUUCGGUGGAUUUGAUUUAUUUCUAGUGGCGGACGGGUGAGUAACGCGUGGGUAACCUGCCUUAUACAGGGGGAUAACAGUCAGAAAUGGCUGCUAAUAACGCAUAAGCGCACAGAGCGGCAUGGCUCAGUGUGAAAAACUCCGGUGGUAUAAGAUGGACCCGCGUUGGAUUAGCUAGUUGGGGGGGUAACGGCCCCCCAAGGCGACGAUCCAUACCCUGCCUGUGAGGGUGAACCGCCACACUGGCACUGAGACGCGGCCCAGACUCCUACGCGAUGCAGCAGUGGGUAAUAUUGCACUAUGGGGGAAACCCUGAUGCAGCUACGCCGCGUGAAGGAAGAAGUAUCUAGGUAUGUAAACUUCUAUCAGCAGGGAAGGUAGUGACGGUACCUGACUAAGAAGCCCCGGCUAACUACGUG